ensembl:lncRNA
UAUUAAGCAGUGUGCAAAGAAUCUACAAGGAAAUUACUUGAAAAAGAAAGAAAAAGAAGCAAACGCCUGUGAAAUUAACCUGGCUGAUCUAAGCCACUCCUCAUAAAGAUUCCCUUUCCAACCCUUCACCAUUUUAGUGGCCCUCCUUUGGGCACUCUCUAAUAGCUCAGUGUACUUUUUUAUGUUGUGGUGCCCAAAACUGCACAGUGGACUUGAGGGCACCACAGCACAGAGCAGGGUGGGACAAUCCCCUCCCUUGCCCUGCUGAUUCCCCCAUCUGUCCAUACAACCAGGGUUUCCCUUUCCCAGGAGCAGAAUCCAGCACUAACCCUUGUUAAAUUUCAUGUGGUUUUAAAGGGACUGAACCCCCCAUGGAACAGGUUGCUGCCCAGAGGGCAGAGGUUACAACAAACACAGGCACCGAAGUGAACACCCUGACUCAUAAAGCCCUGCUGACAUUUUCUUGCUCAAAUGCAGGGCCCAGGUGGGUUUGGAUUCUUGCUGAUCUACAAAGAAUUCCCACAUCGUGGUCAGUUUUCAGCUGGCUUAGAUAUACCAGGUUCUUCCUGCCAUCACAAUUUGGAGGCUGCUGGGUUGAAGAUCACCUCCAUCAGGUUCCAAAACCCAGUGAGUGCUGCAGCCAAGGAAAUUCUCCUUCAGAACUGAGAAGCCAUGAAAUAGCUGCAGAGAACUUAAAAGAGAUCUUCAUCUGGAUGAAUUAUUAG